AGGACUAUAGCACAUGCAACUGGGCCUAUCUGCUCCCCCCUCCAGGUUCCUGCCUUGCUUGAAAUCCUAACCUGACUUCCUUUGAUGUGGAAGCUUAAGUCAAAUAAACCCUUUCCUGCCCAAGUUGCUUUGGUCUUGGUGGUUAAUAACUGCAAUAGUAACCCACCUACAGAAGGGCUGACAACCAAUCAUGCGCGAGAACGCUAAUGAAAUUGCGCACCAACGGCCAGAAGAGGGCAUGCGCUCGCGUUUCAAACGGAAGCUCUAAAUUGAGGCUCAAAAUGCCCUGGGAUGGAGUAGGUCACCCUACUCUGAUUCUUGGUGAGAAGCAGGGAAAUCCAGCGACUUUUCCUGAAGGUCAGAGAGACUACGGUCUCAUAGGGGGAAAGUGCGUGAAGACUUGUCUCCAAAACAAUUUUCGGUUUGUGGCCAUCUGACUUCUCUCCGAUGCCCAGAUGAUGCAGACAGCCCCACCUCAGCCAGUCCUUCCUUUUCCAGGCUCCUGUGGGCCUUCAACAGUCGGGGCGAUCCGUUGGGUCGGUCGUCGCCACUUCGGAGGAAUCAUCUCAUAACUGGGGCCUGCCUGUGUUUUGUGAGCUCUGUCCACAGAGAGUGCUGCCAUGCUUCUGCCAAGCAGGAGAAGCGUCCGGGGGUCUCCGGAACCCUUAAGGAAAGCCGUCUGCACAGAAGAUAAGCAUUUUCUGUGAGUCGUGAGUACUGGAGGUGAGGAAGCCCUGAGCCACACACACGCCAAAAGAGAGGUGCCCUGGUGCAGGCACCAUCUUCAUGCCCGACGAGAAGAGACACGCCCACCAGAGCCAAGAGAGAGAGCCAUUACACUCUGUCCUUGAAGGGACAGCCAGGUGACAGCUCCCUAAACCACACCCACCCUCUGCCUCCUUCACUCAAGGUGCUUUGUCUGACUGAAGCUGUGUGCGCAGUGAAGGCCGGCCGAUGCUUUAGGUCCGCAGGAAUGUGAUGGUCCAGCUACCGUGGAUAACCUACCGAAGGUGCUUCCCUUGGCCAUGGCCUCAGCGGGAAGGCCUCACACCACAUAAACUGCUAUACUGUAGGUAUGCCAGACCCUUGGCACCCAGUGUGUUCCCGGACCUGUGCCCUUCAGCCCAGGACCCUGUGCUCGCUGGCUACUUGUUCACAUGACACUGGAAACCUGUGCCCUUUCAAGAUGCCCCCUCUGUUGCUGUGAGUCGGUGGGGGCACGGGUCCCCCUCAGAGGUCUAGUACUGUAUCUACCCGGGAAGGGAGUCUCCACAGCCGUGUCUAGAAGGGUACCUGCAUACCACGUGUGACUGUGUUGAGAGUCCUUGCUCACGGCUAUGAUGUCAUUACUCCUCCUCCUCCUCCUCCCUCUCCUCGUCCUCCUCCUGGUUCGUGGUUGACAUCCUUGCUGUCUUCCCAUGACCACGACUUAGCCCUCCUGUUGGAAAGGCAAGAAGAGCAAAGGCUCCCUGGCGGCCCUGUCUUUUGUUGUUGUUCUCAUCAGUGCCUGGCUGGCUGACUUUACCUGAGAUCUACUUCUGUGGUCCUCUCACCCCUGCCCCGGAGAGGCCCUAUGUUCUCUGGGGUCUGGAGAGGGUUUGCUUGCCUGUGCUGAUGAGUCAGAGCCAGGCCUCCCUGUGGCCUUCCCACCAUACACCACAGAGCCAGAAUCCUCCUCUCUCCUGUCCUGGUGGACACCAGGCACAGGGAGAGCUGAGGCCUGAAGGAUACUGUGGAGUCAGUUGUGCCCUAGGCAGGAUGGCCAAAGGCUACUGGACAGUGGGGAUCGGGGCCUGCCACCAAUGGCCCUUUUGGCCCUGCCUCAGUGGGGGUGCUAUUUAAGUUUAGGUUCAAAAUGUCACCUCAUGCUCAAAAGCUCCUCCCAUUGCAGGGCUUAAGGAGCUGUGUGUCUUCCCCCACCUGGAAGGUAUGGGAAGUUCCUAAGAGAGCAGCCCGCCCUGGUGGCUCCUGUGCCUGACUCACCCGCUCACUGCUUUCUGGGACCCGAUGUUCUGAGGAAGCAGGUGUCUUCUGCUUUGUCUAGGUCGUAGUCUCUGGUCUUUGGUUCAUUGUCCUGUGAUACAAUUUCCAUGGGCCGUUUAGUAAUUAUUUUGCUCUUCUUUGAGAUAGCACGAAACGUGGAAGCAUAUUAAUAAUUGGACCUCUGAGCAGGUGCAAUGAAAGAUCCUAGAAAUGGGUGUGUGUGGAAGGCCGGGAAGCCUCAGUCCCCAUCCCCGUCGGGUGGCAGUGGGCAGGCCAGGUCCCUGGGAAGCUGUGGUGGAGGCCUUGCAGGCUGUGACCUGCCGCAGGUUCUGGAGCAGCUGAGCCCGGGUCUCCCGGCAGACGGGGGCCUGUAGCCGGCUCGAGGACGGUAAAUGACCAGGGGAACUGGCCUGUCCAGGUCCACUGAAGGUCCUCCAAAGCCUUGCCGGGGUGAGGGUCGCUGUGAUGUGGCAUGCUGCUGCCACACAGCCUGCCUUCAGAGGCACCAGGGAGCAAGACGCUGUCGGGAUGGUAAAGGAGGGCAUCUCUGCAGGCAAACAGGGACUCCAACUGCUGACCUCAGGUUCUGACUCCCUUAGCCUUGCUGGCAGGGACACAUCUGACUGCCCACUCUGUGGGCAGCCACAGAAACAUCUGGCUGGGCUCCUUUUGUCCCCGCCUCUCCCCCACCCCACCCCACCCCCCACACACACCCACUUCCCACAGGAGUGUGAAGAGCUUGACACACCUCUGUCUAUUCGGUUUCUAAUCCAAUGCCCUUCCUGGUUUCCUUUGAUGGAGGCAUAGGUAAACCUGGGCUGUUUUCCCAGUCAACUUUGAUGGCUAACGUGGGCAAGGAGACUCAGCACAGACAAGAGAACCUGGCGGCAGGGAUGGCGGUGCCUCCCACACAUUGCCUUUGCCCCGAUUGCCUUGGCAUCUUGGCAUUUAUGACCUUGGUAUGACCUUCAUCUUGCUGGUGACAGCACUGGUCCUUGGGGACUCCUGGACUUUCAGAAAGUGACUUCAUCCCCUCACUGAGGGCUGGGGAUUGGUGUGGGUGUGGUGGAGUAGCAGACAUACCCAUCCCAUCCUGUGUGCUCAGGGGAACUUGGUUUAUGGUCCCUGCCUGGGCCUUGUGUCUAUCCUUGGGCAGCUGUGUUCCUUGCAUUGGCCACAGCAAAGCCCUGUCUGUGGUUCUCAGAAGUUGUGAUGUGCUCAGUGACCGGCUGGCACUCCUGAGUCACAUCGCUCCUCCAUAGACAGAGCUCUGGUCCAGGGUCACCACCGUGCACUGUGUGGCCUGGACCUCCUGCCACCCUUCCUCAUUGUCAGUGGUGAAGCUGCUGGAGGAAAGGCCACACUGGGUUCACCCCCAGGGGUCCUCUGCUCUGCCUUGGCAGGGUGCCUCAUUCCCUCCUGGUCUCUAUGAAGUCCCCUGUGGUCCUCUCUGGGGUUGCUGAUCGAUUCUUCUUUUUUUUCACUCUUCUCCCACCUUGAGGGACUCGGGAGAGUCCCUGAGCACCGUGGAGCAUGCAAGCCCUUGCAUGGCCGAUUGUCCCCUUGACUCUCUGUCCCCUACGAUAGGUAAGGACUCCUGCCCUGUUGUAUCCUCAGAGUGGGUGCUGCCUGGUGAGAUUGUGUGUCCUGAUGACUGUUCAACACAAAGAUGAGUCCCUAAUAAAUGCACAGUUGUUGAUUGAAAAUAACUCUGGACGUGGGAAGUCCAAGGCCAAGGUCCCGACAGACGGAUCGCCUGGUGCAAGCCCAAAGCUCAUGAACAGCACCUUAGAGCUGAGGUCCACAGGCAGAGGCUUAAGAGAGCUCCCCUGGGCCCAGGUUCUUGAGGGCACUAGUCAUGUUCAUGGAGGAGUGUGUGUAAACGUGUUAUCAGUAUGUGUUUGUGAGUGUGUACACACACAGCCCUGUUCCUUCUCUCACGGUGGAAAUUAGGUUGUAACAUAUGAAUUUGGAGGGACACCAACUGUCCGUUCCCGGCAUGUCCUAAAGAAUGUGGAAUAUACAGGAUGAAGAGGCUCCAGGUUGUGUCUGUGGCCUCUGGACGUUACGGGAACUGUCCCUCCCUGACCGGUGGGGUCCGGGCUUAUGUGGAUGGGUGACCCAGGACCUCGGGGGCUGGGCAAGGUGCUGUGGAGCAGCAGGGCAGCACUGAGAGCCACUUCCCUUGACUGAGUGGACAAGGGGCAGCCUCCCUUUCUGCCUCCUACAGCACACAGCUGCCAGCCCUGUCCCACCCCUCAGACCUUAGCUCUGCCCAUAACUGCUGCUCCAGUGACUUUCCAAAGAUGCUGUCAUUCCCUCUAGAUGAGAGCAGAUCAGAGUCACUCUCCUAACUGUCCUGGGCCCACACAUGUCCUGAUCCUUCUCCCUUCUCACUUCCAGGUGGCUGUCAUUGUCUUUUCCUAUGGGUUCUUGCCUUGUGCCAGGCUUCUCCUGGAUCUGGAGGUGGUCAGGGCCAGACAGGAAGAAGGAAAGGCGAGAUUGGUCAGCUCUUUAGACAGUGUUGAAAAUGUGCCUCCUGGAGACAGCUCUGGACAGCUCUUCACAGGAGGUCAGGCCAUGCCUCGGGGCUGAGGCAGGAGCAUGGCCUUCACCACCAGGCUUUGCCUCCCGAGGCCUCUGCACAUGUGAGUCUGGGCUGUGUGGUGCCCUGCUUGCCCCUCUAUCCUUCUACCUCACCACAUCUCUUUCUCUGAGGACAUUUGCUUGGUUUCUCUGAGUUCCAACAGUCCUUCAGACAGUUGGGGGAGGAAAGAAGAGGAGAGACUGUGUCCCUGUCUCCCUUGGCCUUUGCCUUGGCUCCUCUUGCUGUCUGGUUCUUGUUGUCAACCUGCUUGGCCAACUGGAGGCUACUGAAUUCUGUCACAUGUCAGGCCACAGAUGCCCUCUGCCCACCAAAUAAAAAAAGGAAGUGCUGGGGAGAUGGCUCAGUGGUUAACGCUGCUUGCUCCCUUCUCAGGGCCAGAUCUCAGGCCCCCCAACCCCCUGUGAUAUGCCCAGCAUUCCUGCCAACUUCCAACUCCUGGAAUCCCAAGUGUGGAGGGGUGGAGACAGGAGGAUAUCUGGGACUUGCCUGCUUUUAGCCUAGUAGAGAUGUGAACCCAGGGCUCAGGAAGAAACCCUGCUUUAAGGGACAAUGCAGAGUGACUGAGGAGGAUGGCUAGUUGCCGUCUUCAGGAUCUGUGAGGGACCGGGUGAGCCCAGGGUACAGAAAAGAGGUCUAACAGGGGAGAGGAGCACAGCCCAUGGCUCAGUAACCCCACAGGGAGACCUUCACCACCGCCCUCAUAUGACUUUGUGUUCUUGAGUGAGCAAGAAAAGCAUGCGUUCGUCUCCCUGGACGCUCAGUCACAGCUGAGAACUCCUAAAUUGACAGAUAGUGGCCUGUGAUUUGAAAGUCACUCUGUGCUGCUCCCUUUGCCCAGGAUAGCUUCACCAUCCCUCCACGGGACCACCAAGUCCUCAUGCCCAUUCUGAGGUGUGAAGGUUCCUACACACGCAUGUACUCUCCAGCAUCCUCACAGUUAAAGCUCUCUGUGCUCCCUGUAUGCUAAGUGCUCACUGACCUCCUGUCCCCUGGGAUAGUCCUCCCUGGAGUCCACCUGACCCCGGGUACCCUAGUAUCUAUCCAGAGUUUUUCAUCUUCCUAAAGUGCUAGUUUAAAUUACAUGUUUGCAAAAGUGAGCACACUGUCACACAUUCACAAUGUCUUAGAACUGGCAGGGCUGUCGUCCCACACUUAGACAGUGGAGUUGUCAUGUUCCUGUCAUGACCUUGUCCUCCACAGACUUAGAAGCCCCUAGAGCCUCCUGUAGUCAUUGGUACUGCUUUCUGUGGUGUACCUGUGUCCUGAGGCUCCCUCCAACCUUGUGGGCAGGACUGUGUAGUCUGUCCCAUUGUCCCCUUUUCUGGUGCAUUUGGUGCUUAUUGUUACUCUGGGUGGCAGUGGGCGCCCUUCCUAGUUUCAUAGGAGCGAACUAGAAAAUACGACUGUUGUGUUCUUAACCACACAUCUGGGCCAAAUGCUGAGCCUGGGUCCCUAGAGGAUGAGCAGUGAGAGUUCUCUCCUCCUCUGGAUAUAACCUGUUCCUGUGUCCUUGGGUCUCAACCUUCUCUUGAGGCUUUUAGCUUUAUAUUCCUUGGCUCAGUGGUUUUCCUGGUAGAAUGGGGCCUUGGCCAAAGCCAUAGCUGUCAAGUGUCAGAGUCAGUCUGAACCCAAGGUAGGGAUUGUUUUCUUGUCCACUUGGCCUAGGACAGGAAGAAAGGGAAGCCCGAAGUUUCCUCCCUUGGGCUCAGAUGAGGGUGUGGAUGCUUAUAGGGGAAGUUGAGCUGAACUCCAUUGGCAGCCUCAAGGGGAUCCAAGUGUAUGCUGAAUAUUGAGAUGUGCCUGUGUACCCUGUGCUCUGAGGUCCCUAGUGCCGCCUGCAGCUAGUCAUUGUGGCUGCUGUCUCUGGUGGCCCUCGUUUCUCUGGUGGCUACCACUGACCUCCUUAGCUUGAUUGUGUUGCCAGUGGUCCCAUGCCCUCCUGUGGUUGCCUUUGGUGUUUUCUGGCACUCUCAGAUGCCCUGGGAGUCCCACUUGCUAUGUCCAUGUCAGAUCCAUGUGACCAAGUCUUCCUGUGUUUGUGUUGUACAUCUUCCUAUACAUACAGCACGUUUAUUAGAUGGCAUAUAUGUUAAGAAGGUACACUGACGUCUUUGGUAGAAGGUCACAUGUAGUCCUGGCACUUGGCAGCUUGAACUGUCAAGGUUACCAUGAAUUUAAAUCCAACCUGUGGUACCAUUCAACGGUACUAAAAAUUUCAAUAAACAAUGAAAAACUCAAA